rnacentral:rRNA from 1 species
UUGAACGUUGGCGGCAGGCCUUAAACAUGCAAGUCGAGCGGAAACGAUGGGAGCUUGCUCCCAGGCGUCGAGCGGCGGACGGGUGAGUAACGCGUAGGAAUCUACCCAGUAGCGGGGGAUAGCCCGAGGAAACUCGGAUUAAUACCGCAUACGCCCCACGGGGGAAAGGCCGGGAUCUUCGGACCGGUCACUAUUGGAGGAGCCUGCGUUGGAUUAGCUAGUUGGUAGGGUAAAGGCCUACCAAGGCGACGAUCCAUAGCUGGUCUGAGAGGACGAUCAGCCACACUGGAACUGAGACACGGUCCAGACUCCUACGGGAGGCAGCAGUUGGGAAUAUUGUGCAAUGGGGGAAACCCUGACACAGCCAUGCCGCGUGUGUGAAGAAGGCUCUAGGGUUGUAAAGCACUUUCAGUAGGGAGGAAUUAACACGGUUAAAUAAUCCGGUGCAAUGACGUUACCCACAGAAGAAGGACCGGCUAACUCCGUGCCAGCAGCCGCGGUAAUACGGAGGGUCCAAGCGUUAAUCGGAAUUACUGGGCGUAAAGCGUGCGUAGGCGGUUUGUUAAGUGGAAUGUGAAAGCCCCGGGCUCAACCUGGGAACUGCAUCCCAAACUGGCAAACUAGAGUGCGGAAGAGGAGUGUGGAAUUUCCUGUGUAGCGGUGAAAUGCGUAGAUAUAGGAAGGAACACCAGUGGCGAAGGCGACACUCUGGUCUGACACUGACGCUGAGGUACGAAAGCGUGGGGGAGAAAACAGGAUUAGAUCCCCUGGUAGUCCACGCCGUAAACGAUGUCAACUAGCCGUUGGGUCCCUUGAGGACUUAGUGGCGCAGCUAACGCAAUAAGUUGACCGCCUGGGGAGUACGGUCGCAAGAUUAAAACUCAAAUGAAUUGACGGGUGCCCGCACAAGCGGUGGAGCAUGUGGUUUAAUUCGAUGCAACGCGAAGAACCUUACCUGGUCUUGACAUCCUACGAACUUUCCAGAGAUGGAUUAAGGCCUUCGGGAACGUAGUGACAGGUGCUGCAUGGCUGUCGUCAGCUCGUGUUGUGAAAUGUUGGGUUAAGUCCCGUAACGAGCGCAACCCUUAUCCUUAUUUGCCAGCACGUAAUGGUGGGAACUCUAGGGAGACUGCCGGUGACAAACCGGAGGAAGGUGGGGACGACGUCAAGUCAUCAUGGCCCUUACGACCAGGGCUACACACGUGCUACAAUGGACGGUACAGAGGGUUGCCAAGCCGCGAGGUGGAGCUAAUCCCAUAAAACCGUUCGUAGUCCGGAUUGGAGUCUGCAACUCGACUCCAUGAAGUCGGAAUCGCUAGUAAUCGUGAAUCAGAAUGUCACGGUGAAUACGUUCCCGGGCCUUGUACGCACCGCCCGUCA